AGUGAACGCUGGCGGUAGGCCUAACACAUGCAAGUCGAACGGCAGCACAGUAAGAGCUUGCUCUUACGGGUGGCGAGUGGCGGACGGGUGAGGAAUACAUCGGAAUCUACUUUUUCGUGGGGGAUAACGUAGGGAAACUUACGCUAAUACCGCAUACGACCUACGGGUGAAAGCAGGGGAUCUUCGGACCUUGCGCGAUUGAAUGAGCCGAUGUCGGAUUAGCUAGUUGGCGGGGUAAAGGCCCACCAAGGCGACGAUCCGUAGCUGGUCUGAGAGGAUGAUCAGCCACACUGGAACUGAGACACGGUCCAGACUCCUACGGGAGGCAGCAGUGGGGAAUAUUGGACAAUGGGCGAAAGCCUGAUCCAGCCAGACCGCGUGGGUGAAGAAGGCCUUCGGGUUGUAAAGCCCUUUUGUUGGGAAAGAAAAGCAGCAGGUUAAUACCCCGCUGUUCUGACGGUACCCAAAGAAUAAGCACCGGCUAACUUCGUG
rnacentral:rRNA from 1 species